rnacentral:rRNA from 1 species
AUGAACGCUGGCGGUAUGCCUAAUACAUGCAAGUCGAACGCAUUCUCGUUUUCGAUUGAAGGUGCUUGCACUAGAUUGAAAAACAUUGGAAUGAGUGGCGGACGGGUGAGUAACACGUGGGUAACCUGCCCAAAAGUGGGGGAUAACAUUUGGAAACAAAUGCUAAUACCGCAUAAUAGUUAGAACCGCAUGGUUCUAAUUUGAAAGAUGGUUUCGGCUAUCACUUUUGGAUGGACCCGCGGCGUAUUAGUUAGUUGGUGAGGUAAUGGCUCACCAAGACAAUGAUACGUAGCCGAACUGAGAGGUUGAUCGGCCACAAUGGGACUGAGACACGGCCCAUACUCCUACGGGAGGCAGCAGUAGGGAAUCUUCCACAAUGGGCGAAAGCCUGAUGGAGCAAUACCGCGUGAGUGAAGAAGGGUUUCGGCUCGUAAAACUCUGUUGUUGGAGAAGAACGUAUGUGAUAGUAACUGAUCAUGUAGUGACGGUAUCCAACCAGAAAGCCACGGCUAACUACGUGCCAGCAGCCGCGGUAAU